rnacentral:rRNA from 1 species
GACGAACGCUGGCGGCGUGCCUAAUACAUGCAAGUAGAACGCACAGAUUAUACCGUAGCUUGCUACACCAUAGCCUGUGAGUUGCGAACGGGUGAGUAACGCGUAGGUAACCUGCCUGGUAGCGGGGGAUAACUAUUGGAAACGAUAGCUAAUACCGCAUAAUAUUGAUUAUUGCAUGAUAAUUAACUGAAAGGUGCAAUUGUACCACUACCAGAUGGACCUGCGUUGUAUUAGCUAGUAGGUUAGGUAACGGCUCACCUAGGCGACGAUACAUAGCCGACCUUGGAAGGUGAUCGGCCACACUGGGACCGGGACACGGCCCAGACUCCUUCGGGAGGCAGCAGUAGGGAAUCUUCGGCAAUGGACCAAAGUCUUACCGGGCAACGCCGCGGGAGGGAAUAAGGUUUUCGGAUCGUAAAGCUCUGUUGUAAGAGAAGAACGAGUGUGGGAGUUGAAAGUUCACACUUUGACGGUAUCUUACCAGAAAGGGACGGCUAACUACGUG